AUGUACAUUCCUACACCAUAGCAUUAAUGCAUCCGAUCCUAUUAGAACUCCACAGUUAAGCACGCUCAGGCUAGAGUAGUUCUGGGAUGGUUGACCGCCCGAGAAGUCCUAGUGUUUUACAUG
rnacentral:rRNA from 1 species